UACGUAGGGUGCGAGCGUUAAUCGGAAUUACUGGGCGUAAAGCGUGCGCAGGCGGUUUUGUAAGACAGAUGUGAAAUCCCCGGGCUUAACCUGGGAACUGCGUUUGUGACUGCAAGGCUAGAGUACGGCAGAGGGGGGUGGAAUUCCUGGUGUAGCAGUGAAAUGCGUAGAGAUCAGGAGGAACACCGAUGGCGAAGGCAGCCCCCUGGGCCUGUACUGACGCUCAUGCACGAAAGCGUGGGGAGCAAACAGGAUUAGAAACCCUAGUAGUCC
rnacentral:rRNA from 1 species